rnacentral:rRNA from 1 species
AUGUUCGAUGAAAUGUCGCAAAGGUAUAAAUUUUCCGGUUGUGCUCUCGAUUGUUGUUUCAAAUUGUAUGUGUUCUUGAUUGUUUGUGCAUCCAAUUGUAGUCUUGAUGAUGAAGCUUUCAUGCAUGCGACAAAUGUGGCAAAUGAUGAUUACAUGUAUGUGUCACAAGAAUAUGAAACCCAAUGUGAUGAUGACAAUCUUGAUGUGGACGAUGAGGGCUUUGUUGUCAAGGGAAGAAGUGGAAAUUAUACCACCGCGGAGGAUGUGUUGAUAUGCACCACUUGGAAGAAAAUCUCUCAAGAUACAAGCGUUGGAAGCGACCAAACGGUGAACACCUAUUGGCAACGCAUGAAGGAGUACUUUGAUGAGCGCAACACAAGUGGUCACUUCCGUUCAAGCGACUCUCUACGCCAAUGUUGGUCCACCAUCAACGCUGAAUGCCAAAAGUGGGCCAGUUGCUUGUGA